rnacentral:rRNA from 1 species
GAUGAACGCUGGCGGCGUGCCUAAUACAUGCAAGUCGAGCGAACAGACGAGGAGCUUGCUCCUCUGACGUUAGCGGCGGACGGGUGAGUAACACGUGGAUAACCUACCUAUAAGACUGGGAUAACUUCGGGAAACCGGAGCUAAUACCGGAUAAUAUAUUGAACCGCAUGGUUCAAUAGUGAAAGACGGUUUUGCUGUCACUAAUAGAUGGAUCCGCGCCGCAUUAGCUAGUUGGUAAGGUAACGGCUUACCAAGGCAACGAUGCGUAGACGACCUGAGAGAGUGGUUGGCCACCCUGGAAGUGAGACACGGUCGCGACUCCUACGGGAGGACGCAGUAGGGAAUCUUCCGCAAUGGGGGAAAGCCUGACGGAGCAACGCCGCGUGAGUGAUGAAGGUCUUCGGAUCGUAAAGCUCUGUUAUUAGGGGAGAACAAAUGUGUAAUUAACUAUGCACGUCUUGACGGUACCUGAUCAGAAAGCCACGGCUAACUACGUG